rnacentral:snRNA from 1 species
GAGCAAUGCACCUACACUGAAAUUGGAGUGAUACAGAGAAGAUUAGCAUGGCCUGUGUGCAAGGAUGACAUACAGAUUUACAAAGAAUUUCAUAUUUUA